rnacentral:rRNA from 1 species
AUAUAUGAGAGUGGCGAACGGGUGAGGAACACGUAAGAAUCUGCCCCUCGGUCGGGGACAACUCUUGGAAACGAGAGCUAAUACCCGAUACGCUGUGGAGUGAAAGAAUUUCGCCGAGGGAUGAUCUUGCGUCUGAUUAGCUAGUUGGUGUGGUAAAGGCAUACCAAGGCGACGAUCAGUAGCUGGUCUGAGAGGAUGAACAGCCACAUUGGAACUGAGACACGGUCCAAACUCC